UGGGGAAUCUUGGACAAUGGGGGCAACCCUGAUCCAGCCAUGCCGCGUGAGUGAUGAAGGCCUUAGGGUCGUAAAGCUCUUUCGCCUGUGAAGAUAAUGACGGUAGCAGGUAAAGAAACCCCGGCUAACUCCGUGCCAGCAGCCGCGGUAAUACGGAGGGGGUUAGCGUUGUUCGGAAUUACUGGGCGUAAAGCGCACGUAGGCGGACCAGAAAGUUGGGGGUGAAAUCCCGGGGGCUCAACCCCGGAACUGCCUCCAAAACUAUUGGUCUAGAGUUCGAGAGAGGUGAGUGGAAUUCCAAGUGUAGAGGUGAAAUUCGUAGAUAUUUGGAGGAACACCAGUGGCGAAGGCGGCUCACUGGCUCGAUACUGACGCUGAGGUGCGAAAGUGUGGGGAGCAAAACAGGAUUAGAUACCCUGGUAGUCCACACCGUAAAACGAUGAAUGCCAGUCGUCGGGUAGCAUGCUAUUCGGUGACACACCUAACGGAUUAAGCAUUCCGCCUGGGGAGUACGGU
rnacentral:rRNA from 1 species